rnacentral:lncRNA from 1 species
AUGGGUCAGCCCGCGGCGGGCGGGCGGGGAGGGGCGGGGCGGGGAGGGCGCAGGGGGCGGGCGCAGGGGGCCGGGCCGCAGCUGCGGUGCACACGCCGGGUCGCCACUGCUGUCCCCUCCCCCGGCCCCGCCGCCGCCGCGACCCGCGCUCCCGGCCCGAGCAGCACAAAGCCCAGCGCGCCCCCUCCCGGGGCGCCCCCCCGCCGCCCCUCCCCGCCUCCCCCUCCCGGACACCCCGCCGCCCCCCCUCCUGCCGCUCCUCUCCCGGGACACCCCCCCCGCCGCCCCCCUCCCGGGGCACCCUCCCGGGGCGCCGCCCCCCCCGCCUCCCCCCUCCCGGGGCGCCGCCCCCCCCGCCUCCCCCCUCCCUGUGCACCGCCCCCCGCCUCCCCCUCCCGGUGCACCCCCCGCCUCCCCCCUCCCGGGGCGCCGCCCCCCCCCGCCUCCCCCUCCCGGGCACCCCCCGCCUGCCCCUCCCGGUGCACCGCCGCCCGCCUCCCCCCUCCCGGGGCCGCCCCCCCGCCUCCCCCCUCCCGGGGCGCGCUGCCCUUGACUCACGGUCGGGCGGCGGCGGGGGCUCCUCGGGCCGGGACGCUCCUCCCGGGGACCGCGGGGCCGCGCCGCUUCCUCCGCCCCCGCCCGCCGCCCCCCCCCGCCUUCCUCCCCGCCGCCCCCCGCCCCGCCGUCCCUCCGAGCCCCGGCCAGUCCCGACGCGGCGGCGGCCCGGCCCGGCCCCGGCCCCGGCCCGGCCCCGGCACAGCGCAGGGCGGGCGGCGCAUGCUCGGGCCGCGGCCGCCCCGCAGGACCCCGGGGUGUCGCCGCCCCCGCCCCCCCCCCCGCGGGAGCCCGGGCCGCGCCGAGCAGGGGCGGGGCGGGGCGGGGCGGGGCCGCACCGGGAGGGGCCUUCGCUCUAGGAGGACGUGCGUGCCUGGGGGGGGCGGGGGGGUCUGCGACCUCCUGCAGCCGCCGCCUGGGCCGGCCGGGACCCUCCGGAUUCAAAUAAUAAUUUGA